rnacentral:rRNA from 1 species
GGGGAAUUUUGGACAAUGGGCGCAAGCCUGAUCCAGCAAUGCCGCGUGAGUGAAGAAGGCCUUCGGGUUGUAAAGCUCUUUUGUCAGGGAAGAAACGGUCCGGGCUAAUAUCCUGGGCUAAUGACGGUACCGGCGGAAUAAGCACCGGCUAACUACGUGCCAGCAGCCGCGGUAAGACGUAGGGUGCGAGCGUUAAUCGGAAUUACUGGGCGUAAAGCGUGCGCAGGCGGUUCGUCGUGUCCGAUGUGAAAGCCCCGGGCUCAACCUGGGAAUGGCAUUGGAAACUGGCGGACUCGAGUGUGGCAGAGGGGGGUGGAAUUCCGCGUGUAGCAGUGAAAUGCGUAGAGAUGCGGAGGAACACCGAUGGCGAAGGCAGCCCCCUGGGCUAACACUGACGCUCAGGCACGAAAGCGUGGGGAGCAAAC